UGGUCUCAUGGGGAGGUGGUAAAGGUGGACUCGGAGGGCCGUUAAAAGCACGUUAGAAACCGAGAGAAGACGGUUCCCUGCACAGGCUCGCACAGCGCACACACGGGACCGCCUGCUCCUCAGGUGCCUGGAGCAAGGAGACCCUCCCUCCCCAGCAUGGGGAGCCUCUUGCAUAAACCCACAAAAGGCCUCGUAGAUAAUCUCACGUGUCUGGACGUGGGACUCCUCACGCGUGUGUACCAGGCUCGCCGAAAUUCACUGGGAAGGCCCCGGAGGAGGAAGAGGAUAUCAGCAGCAAGAGAAGAGAAUCCCUCUUCUUUAUGGACCCUACCUUCUGUUGGGAUGGCAGACAUGAUAAAGGAACAAGAUAAAUAAGGCACGUAUAAUGCACAUUAGAGAGUGACACAUGUUGAGAAAAAUAUUAAAUUGGGAGGGAGGUGGGAAAUAGGGUUGGAGCCCUUGUGUAUCCGUCAGCUGUUGCUAUGGUGAUGCUACGUAACAAACAUCCCAAACCUCAGUCGCUUGCAAACUCUGACAUUUAUUUCUCGCUCAGGGGUUCUGCUUC
rnacentral:lncRNA from 1 species